GAUUGUCGAAGGAUAUGCCUUAAUUCAUAAUC
rnacentral:ncRNA from 1 species